rnacentral:misc_RNA from 1 species
AGCAAUAUGAUAUACCCUGAGCAACAUCAUAAGAAAAUCUCAAGCAAAUUUUGGCCACUUAAUAUUCCAAGACUUGAUUUCUUCAACUUUCUCCAUGCUUAAGGGGCUUCAAUUUUCUUCAAAUCACUUCCUCAUGCACUCAUUGACCUUCAUCUUAAACCCAUGCAUGGCAAGCACUUUCCUUAGACGUGAUAUCUAAGUGAAUAGACCCACAGCAAAAUAAUAAGGCUUCAUUGGCUUGAAAGCUUUCUCAAACAGCUGAGCU